AGUGAACGCUGGCGGUAGGCCUAACACAUGCAAGUCGAACGGCAGCACAGUAAGAGCUUGCUCUUACGGGUGGCGAGUGGCGGACGGGUGAGGAAUACAUCGGAAUCUACUUUUUCGUGGGGGAUAACGUAGGGAAACUUACGCUAAUACCGCAUACGACCUACGGGUGAAAGCAGGGGAUCUUCGGACCUUGCGCGAUUGAAUGAGCCGAUGUCGGAUUAGCUAGUUGGCGGGGUAAAGGCCCACCAAGGCGACGAUCCGUAGCUGGUCUGAGAGGAUGAUCCGCUGCAGUGGAACUAGCACACGCUCGAGACUGCUAGGAGAGACAGCCGGGGGGAAUGUCGGACAAGACGCACAGGUAUGAGCCCGACACACCGCGUGGGAGAAGAAGGCUCGCGGGUUGUAACGCACUUUGGUUGAAAAAAAAAAGCAGGAGUUCAAUCCCCCGCUGGUCUGACGGUACCAAAAGAAUACGCACCGGCUCACUGCGGGACAGCAGCCGAGGUAAUAAUAGGAAGAGCCACGUCUGAUC
rnacentral:rRNA from 1 species